CGCUCUUCCGAUCUAUGAAUUUCACCAGGUUACUAAAGAGGGAGCACAAAAUGUUUUAUUAUAAGAAAGGGAAAAGUGGUACUAAUGUAGAUAAUGUCAUCUGCAAAUUCUGAAAAAGACUUCUUCCCUUCCAAUAUUCAGGGCUCUAAUUUCUUUAUCCUUCAUGACGACGUCACCCAGAAUUCUAAGAAUGCUGCUGAAGUACAACGGUGCUGGCCAGCAUCCCUAUCCUGAGGUUUCAACAGUGAAUCGCGUUCAAGAUCUUCUAGACCUAGUCUAUUAGUAGUUACAUCUGGAAUGAAGGUGAAAUUUUAUCAAGUCUUUCCGAUAUCUACUGCAACAAUCAAAUCGCUUUUCUUCUUUCAUCUGCUGCUGUGGUGAAUAUAUAUUAAUACAUUUUUUCAAUCUUCAAAUAAACCCUGUUUGCUCA